UACGAAGGGGGCUAGCGUUGCGCGGAAUCACUGGGCGUAAAGGGUGCGUAGGCGGGUCUUUAAGGGAGGGGGGAAAUCCUGGAGCUCAACUCCAGAACUGCCUUUGAUACUGAGGAUCUUGAGUUCGGGAGAGGUGAGUGGAACUGCGAGUGUAGAGGUGAAAUUCGUAGAUAUUCGCAAGAACACCAGUGGCGAAGGCGGCUCACUGGCCCGAUACUGACGCUGAGGCACGAAAGCGUGGGGAGCAAACAGG
rnacentral:rRNA from 1 species